rnacentral:tRNA from 1 species
UAGCUCAGUUGGUAGAGUGCUUGCCUUGCAUUCAAAAGGCCCUGGGUUCCAUCCCCAG